AGUGAACGCUGGCGGUAGGCCUAACACAUGCAAGUCGAACGGCAGCACAGUAAGAGCUUGCUCUUACGGGUGGCGAGUGGCGGACGGGUGAGGAAUACAUCGGAAUCUACUUUUUCGUGGGGGAUAACGUAGGGAAACUUACGCUAAUACCGCAUACGACCUACGGGUGAAAGCAGGGGAUCUUCGGACCUUUCGCGAUUGAAUGAGCCGAUGUCGGAUUAGCUAGUUGGCGGGGUAAAGGCCCACCAAGGCGACGAUCCGUAGCUGGUCUGAGAGGAUGAUCGGCCACACUGGAACUGAGACACGGUCCAGACUCCUACGGGAGGCAGCAGUGGGGAAUAUUGGACAAUGGGCGAAAGCCUGAUGCAGCAAGACCGCGUGGGUGAAGAAGGCCUUCGGGUUGUAAAGCCCUUUUGUUGGGAAAGAAAAGCAGCAGAUUAAUACCCCGCUGUUCUGACGGUACCCAAAGAGAAAGCAACGGCUAACUUCGUG
rnacentral:rRNA from 1 species